AGCGUCGCUUUGUGAGGAAAGUCCGAGCUUCGCAGGACAGGAUAACGGCUAACGGCCGCCGGGGGUAACCCCAGGGAGAGUGCAACAGAGAUAUACCGCCGUGACCGCUUAAAAUGGGUUUCCCGUUUUUUGACUGUGCUUUUUUUGGCACGGCCGGUUGCGGUAAGGGUGGAAAGGCGAGGUAAAAGCUCACCACGCCCCAUGGUAACAUGGGGGGUCUGUAAACCCUAUCCGAAGCAACACUGAAUAAGGCGAUACGCUUGUCCGGCGUGCCUUGAAAAGUGGCUGGAGCCGUGCAGUAAUGUACGGUCGAGAUAGAUAGUCGUCCCAAUGACAGAACUCGGCUUAUCGUUU
rnacentral:RNase_P_RNA from 1 species